rnacentral:rRNA from 1 species
UACAUGAUUACGAAUUCGAGCUCGGUACCCGGGGAUCCUCUAGAGAUUAGAGUUUGAUCCUGGCUCAGGACGAACGCUGGCGACGUGCUUAACACAUGCAAGUCGAGCGGUAAGGCCUUUCGGGGUACACGAGCGGCGAACGAGUGAGUAACACGUGGGUGAUCUGCCCUGCACUCUGGGAUAAGCUUGGGAAACUGGGUCUAAUACCGGAUAUGACUACAGCAUCCAUGUUUUGUGGUGGAAAGAUUUAUCGGUGCAGGAUGCGCCCGCGGCCUAUCAGCUUGUUGGUGGCGUAAUGGCCUACCAAGGCUCGAACGGGUAGCCGACCUGAGAGGGUGACCGGCCACACUGCGACUGAGACACGGCCCAGACUCCUACGGGAGGCAGCAGUGGGGAAUAUUGCACAAUGGGCUGAAGCCUGAUGCAGCGACGCCGCGUGAGGGAUGAAGGCCUUCGGGUUGUAAACCUCUUUCAUCAGGGACGAAGCGUGAGUGACGGUACCUGCAGAAGAAGCACCGGCUAACUACGUUGCCAGCAGCCGCGGUAAUACGUUAAGGUGCGAGCGUUAUCCCGGAAUUACUGGGCGUUAAGAAUUCGUAGGCGGUAUGUCGCGUCGUUUGUGAAAACCCGGGGCUCAACUUCGGGCUUGCAGGUGAUACGGGCGGACUUGAGUGUUUCAGCGGACACUGGAAUUCCUGUGUAGCGGUGAAAUGCGCAGAUAUCAGGAGGAACACCGGUGGCGAAGGCGGGUCUCUGGGAAACAACUGACGCUGAGGAACGAAAGCGUGGGUAGCAAACAGGAUUAGAUACCCUGGUAGUCCACGCCGUAAACGGUGGGCGCUAGGUGUGGGUUCCUUCCACGGGAUCUGUGCCGUAGCUAACGCAGUAAGCGCCGCGCCUGUGGAGUACGGCCGCAAGGCUAAAACUCAAAGGAAUUGACGGCGGCCCGCACAAGCGGCGGAGCAUGUGGAUUAAUUCGAUGCAACGCGAAGAACUUACCUGGGUUUGACAUACACCGGAGAACCGUAAAGAUACCGUCCCCCUUGUGGUCCGUGUACAGGUGGUGCAUGGCUGUCGUCAGCUCGUGUCGUGAGAUGUUGGGGUUAAGUCCCGCAACGAGCGCACCCCUUGUCUUAGUGUUCCAGCGCGUUAUUGGCGGGGACUCGUAAGAGACUGCCGGGGUCAACUCGGAGGAAGGUGGGGACGACGUCAAGUCAUCAUGCCCCUUAUGUCCAGGGCUUCACACAUGCUACAAUGGCCAGUACAGAGGGCUGCGAGACGGUGAGGUGGAGCGAAUCCCUUAAAGCUGGUCUCAGUUCGGAUCGCGGUCUGCAACUCGAGCCCGUGAAGUCGGAGUCGCUAGUAAUCGCAGAUCAGCAACGCUGCCGUGAAUACGUUCCCGCGCCUUGUACACACCGGCCGUCACGUCAUGAAAGUCGGUAACACCCGAAGGCGGUGCGCUAACCCCUUGUGGGAGCGAGCCGUCGAAGGUGGGAUCGGCGAUUGUGACGUUAUCGUAACCAAGGUAACCAAUCGUCGACCUGCAGGCAUGCAAGCUUGGCAUCUGA